AUUUAAAUAGUUUAAUUAAAACAUUGGUUUGUGGGACCAAAGAUGUAAUUUUUAUUACUUUAGAUA
rnacentral:tRNA from 1 species